rnacentral:misc_RNA from 1 species
AUCUAUCAGUCCAACACAGGUUAAACCUUGUACUUGGUGCUUGAAUAAUGAAGGUUGCUGGAGUCAAUAUCAGCUCCUUUGAAAUGUAUUAGCCGAAUUUUGUAUCAGCUUUGGUUUGAUAAUUAUUUUAUCCAUGCUGUUGCUGGUAAACAUAGUUCAGCUUCAAAUUGUCUCUGUGAGACUGUCCAUUUUUUGGGCAUUAUUUUG